CAUGCAAGUCGAACGAAGUAGCAAUACUUAGUGGCAGACGGGUGAGUAACAUGUAGGUAUCUGCCCUUUGGCCUGGAAUAACACGAGGAAACUUGUGCUAAUACCGGAUAAGUCUUUACGGAGAAAGCUUUAUGCACCAUUGGAUGAGCCUGCACUUGAUUAGUUUGUUGGUGGGGUAAUGGCCUACCAAGACUGUGAUCAAUAGCUGAUUUGAGAGGAUGAUCAGCCACAUUGGGACUGAGACACGGCCCAAACUCCUACGGGAGGCAGCAGUAGGGAAUCUUGCACAAUGGAGGAAACUCUGAUGCAGCGAUGCCGCGUGAGUGAAGAAGGCCUUUGGGUUGUAAAGCUCUUUCGUCGGGGAAGAAAAUGACUGUACCCGAAUAAGAAGGUCCGGCUAACUUCGUGCCAGCAGCCGCGGUAAUACGAAGGGACCUAGCGUAGUUCGGAAUUACUGGGCUUAAAGAGUUCGUAGGUGGUUGAAAAAGUUGGUGGUGAAAUCCCAGAGCUUAACUCUGGAACUGCCAUCAAAACUUUUCAGCUAGAGUAUGAUAGAGGAAAGCAGAAUUUCUAGUGUAGAGGUGAAAUUCGUAGAUAUUA
rnacentral:rRNA from 1 species